rnacentral:rRNA from 1 species
UACGUAGGGGGCAAGCGUUGUCCGGAUUUAUUGGGCGUAAAGAGCGUGUAGGCGGCUUUACAGGUCCGUUGUGAAAACUCGAGGCUCAACCUCGAGACGCCGGUGGAAACCAUUUGGCUAGAGUCCGGAAGAGGUGAGUGGAAUUCCUGGUGUAGCGGUGAAAUGCGCAGAUAUCAGGAGGAACACCAAUGGCGAAGGCAGCUCACUGGGACGGUACUGACGCUGAGACGCGAAAGCGUGGGGAGCAAACAGG